UGGGGAAUAUUGCACAAUGGGCGCAAGCCUGAUGCAGCAACGCCGCGUGAACGAAGAAGGCCUUCGGGUCGUAAAGUUCUUUUCUCGAGGAAGAAGAAAUGACGGUACUCGAGGAAUAAGCACCGGCUAACUACGUGCCAGCAGCCGCGGUAAUACGUAGGGUGCAAGCGUUAUCCGGAAUCACUGGGCGUAAAGGGUGCGUAGGCGGUUAGACAAGUCAGAAGUGAAAGGCAGUGGCUCAACCACUGUAAGCUUUUGAAACUGUUUAACUUGAAUGCAGGAGAGGCAAGUGGAAUUCCUAGUGUAGCGGUGAAAUGCGUAGAUAUUAGGAGGAACACCAGUGGCGAAGGCGACUUGCUGGACUGUAAUUGACGCUGAGGCACGAAAGCGUGGGGAGCAAACAGG
rnacentral:rRNA from 1 species